AGUGAAGAAACACUGGCUAUGAGAGAAGUAAAAGUAAAAUAUGUUGUUCACCAAAAGGGUUUAGGAUAUGACAGCCCUAAUGGAACAACUAACACACUUGAAAAUCCAUAGAUGAGUGAUAAUAUAAUAUCAAGACAAACAAUUAAUUUUGAGCAGCACCUGCUGCACAAAAGCCACUCACAGCCCUUGAAGCAACAUCAGGAGCUGAACAUGCUUAAACAUAAAAGAGAUGCCCAGUCUGGUCGAAGAAAACCGUGGCUAAACCACAGAGGAUAAUUUCUGGACACAGAACAGCUCACCACCUUCCUCCUUUUGGCAGACUGACUGCUCUUGAAAACUGGCCAUUCCUCUAAUUACUGAGAUCUCCCGAGCACUAAUCCCCUCCUCCCUGGUGUCUCUCACUCUUAGCU